rnacentral:rRNA from 1 species
UAAGCCAUGCAUGUCUAAGUGGAGUAUUAUAUAGCGAAACUGCGAACGGCUCAUUACAACAGAUAUAAUUUACUAGUUCUUGAUCCUAUAUGGAUAACUGCGGUAAUUCUGGAGCCAAUACAUGCAUCAAGCCUCGGCCUUCGGGUUCGGGGUGCAAUUAUUGGAGCAAAACCAGUCUCGUACUGUUUGCUAACUCUGGAUAAUUCUGCUUAUCGCAUGGUCUUGUACCGGCGAAGUUUCUUUCAAGUAUCUGCUUUAUCAACUAUCGUUGGUAGUUUAUUGGACUACCAUGGUGUUGACGGGUAACGGAGAAUCAGGGUUUGACUCCGGAGAGGGAGCCUUAGAAACGGCUACCAUGUCUAAGGAUAGCAGCAGGCGCGAAAAUUACCCAAUAUCAAAACGAUGAGGUAGUGACGAGAAAUAACGAGAUCGUUCUCUUUGAGGUCGAUUAUUGGAAUGAGUACAAUCCAGAAAUUUUAACGAGUAUCUACGAGAGGGCAAGUCUGGUGCCAGCAGCCGCGGUAAUUCCAGCUCUCGUAAUGUAUAGAAUUAUUGUUGCGAUUAAAAAGUUCGUAGUUGGAUUGUUAAGCGAGCAUGGGUCCAUCUUCGUGAUGCGUACUCAAUGCUCGCAUUUUGUUGGUUUUUGCGGCGUUGCUUCGGCUUCGUCGUGAUGCCAGCAGGAUUACUUUGAACGGCUCAAGUGCUCAAAGCAAGUCUUAUGACUGAAUACCGGUGCAUGGAAUAAUGGAACAAGGUUUCGUCCGAGUUUUAUUGGUUUUGUCGGCUGAAACAAUGGUUAACAGGAACAGCCGGGGGCAUUCGUAUCGCUGCGCGAGAGGUGAAAUUCGUGGACCGUAGCGAGACGACCGACAGCGAAGGCAUUUGCCAAGAGUGUUUUCAUUAAUCAAGAACGAAAGUCAGAGGUUCGAAGGCGAUUAGAUACCGCCCUAGUUCUGACCGUA